rnacentral:rRNA from 1 species
GUCGGGGGGAACGGCAUAAGCGCUUGCGCCUAAUGGACGUCGACCGGCGCACGGGUGAGUAACGCGUAUCCAACCUGCCCCACACUAAGGGACAACCCGCAGAAAUGUGGGCUAAUACCUUAUAUUUUCCACCAAGGGCAUCGUCGAUGGAACAAAGAUUUAUCGGUAUGGGAUGGGGAUGCGUCCGAUUAGGUUGUUGGCGGGGUAACGGCCCACCAAGCCAUCGAUCGGUAGGGGUUCUGAGAGGAAGGUCCCCCACAUAGGAACUGAGACACGGUCCUAACUCCUACGGGAGGCAGCAGUGAGGAAUAUUGGUCAAUGGGCGGGAGCCUGAACCAGCCAAGUAGCGUGCAGGAAGACGGCCCUAUGGGUUGUAAACUGCUUUUAUGCGGGGAUAAAGGAGUCCACGUGUGGGCUUUUGCAGGUACCGCAUGAAUAAGGACCGGCUAAUUCCGUGCCAGCAGCCGCGGUAAUACGGAAGGUCCGGGCGUUAUCCGGAUUUAUUGGGUUUAAAGGGAGCGUAGGCCGCGUUUUAAGCGUGUUGUGAAAUGUAGGCGCCCAACGUCUGCAUCGCAGCGCGAACUGGAACGCUUGAGUACGCGCAACGUUGGCGGAAUUCGUCGUGUAGCGGUGAAAUGCUUAGAUAUGACGAAGAACUCCGAUUGCGAAGGCAGCUGACGGGAGCGGCACUGACGCUUAAGCUCGAAGGUGCGGGUAUCAAACAGGAUUAGAUACCCUGGUAGUCCGCACGGUAAACGAUGGAUGCUCGCUGUGUG